GAUGAACGCUGGCGGCGUGCCUAAUACAUGCAAGUCGAGCGGACGGACGAGAAGCUUUCUUCUCUGAUGUUAGCGGCGGACGGGUGAGUAACACGUGGAUAACCUACUUCUAAGACUUGGAUAACUUCGGGAAACCGGUGCUACUACCGGAUGAUAUUUUGAACCGCUUGGUUCAAGAGUGAAAGACGGUUUUGCUGUCACUUAUAGAUGGAUCCGCGCUGCAUUAGCUAGUUGGUAAGGUAACGGCUUACCAAGGCAACGAUGCAUAGCCGACCUGAGAGGAUGAUCAGCCACACUGGAACUGAGACACGGUCCAGACUCCUACGGGAGGCAGCAGUAGGGAAUCUUCCGCAAUGGGCGAAAGCCUGACGGAGCAACGCCGCGUGAGUGAUGAAGGUCUUCGGAUCGUAAAGCUCUGUUAUUAGGAAAGAAAAUAUGUGUAAGUAUCUGUGCACGUCUUGACGGUACCUAAACAGAAAGCCACGGCUAACUACGUG
rnacentral:rRNA from 1 species